rnacentral:rRNA from 1 species
UACGUAGGUGGCAAGCGUUGUCCGGAUUUAUUGGGGUUAAAGGGUGCGUAGGCGGUCUUAUAAGUCAGUGCUGAAAUAUCCCGGCUUAACCGGGAGGGUGGCAUUGAUACUGUAGGACUUGAGUAAAGUUGAGGUUGGCGGAAUUGACGGUGUAGCGGUGAAAUGCUUAGAUAUCGUCAAGAACACCGAUAGUGUAGACAGCUAACUAAGCUUUAACUGACGCUGAGGCACGAAAGUGUGGGGAUCAAACAGG